GGGGCCAUAGCGCAGUUGGUAGCGCGCUUGAAUGGCAUUCAAGCGGUCGGGGGUUCGAUCCCCCCUGGCUCCA
rnacentral:tRNA from 1 species